UACGUAGGGGGCAAGCGUUGUCCGGAUUUAUUGGGCGUAAAGAGCGUGUAGGCGGCCAUGCAGGUCCGUUGUGAAAACUCGAGGCUCAACCUCGAGACGCCGGUGGAAACCGUGUGGCUAGAGUCCGGAAGAGGAGAGUGGAAUUCCUGGUGUAGCGGUGAAAUGCGCAGAUAUCAGGAGGAACACCGGUGGCGAAGGCGGAUCUCUGGGCCAUUACUGACGCUGAGGAGCGAAAGCGUGGGGAGCGAACAGG
rnacentral:rRNA from 1 species